UCAGGACGAACGCUGGCGGCGUGCUUAACACAUGCAAGUCGAGCGAUGAAGCUCCUUCGGGAGUGGAUUAGCGGCGGACGGGUGAGUAACACGUGGGUAACCUGCCUCAUAGAGGGGAAUAGCCUUUCGAAAGGAAGAUUAAUACCGCAUAAGAUUGUAGUACUGCAUGGUACAGCAAUUAAAGGAGCAAUCCGCUAUGAGAUGGACCCGCGUCGCAUUAGCUAGUUGGUGAGGUAACGGCUCACCAAGGCGACGAUGCGUAGCCGACCUGAGAGGGUGAUCGGCCACAUUGGGACUGAGACACGGCCCAGACUCCUACGGGAGGCAGCAGUGGGGAAUAUUGCACAAUGGGGGAAACCCUGAUGCAGCAACGCCGCGUGAGUGAUGACGGCCUUCGGGUUGUAAAACUCUGUCUUUGGGGACGAUAAUGACGGUACCCAAGGAGGAAGCCACGGCUAACUACGUGCCAGCCGCAGC
rnacentral:rRNA from 1 species